rnacentral:rRNA from 1 species
UACGUAGGGUGCAAGCGUUGUCCGGAAUUAUUGGGCGUAAAGAGCUCGUAGGCGGUUUGUUGCGUCGGCUGUGAAAUCCCGAGGCUCAACCUCGGGUCUGCAGUCGAUACGAGCAAACUAGAGUGUUGCAGGGGAGACUGGAAUUCCUGGUGUAGCGGUGGAAUGCGCAGAUAUCAGGAGGAACACCUAUGGCGAAGGCAGCACUCUGGGACGGUACUGACGCUGAGACGCGAAAGCGUGGGGAGCGAACAGG